rnacentral:tmRNA from 1 species
GGGGCCGAUCGGUUUCGACUUCGUUUGUUGACGCGGGGGAAGCGUGCCGGUGCAGGCUGGAGACCACCGUAAGCGUCGCGGCAACCAAUUAAGCGCCGAUUCCAAUCAGCGCGACUUCGCUCUCGCUGCCUAAGCAGCCAGGCGAGUCUGUCAGCCCGGGUUCGCCCUCGGCCCGGUUCCUGGCAUCAGCUAGAGGGAUCACCUCACGGUGCGGUCGCGGCAUCGUGAGGGACAUCACACAGCGACUGGGAUCGUCAUCCCCGCUCGUCCGUGAGAUGGGGAGAUCCGAGUAGAGACACAGCGGACUGCGCACGGAGAAGCCCCGUAGAAAUGACGGAGGACCCGGGUUCAAUUCCCGGCGGCUCCAC